GUGGCCUCUGUGGCCAGGGAGCUGCAGGCAAGGGACUAAGGGGAGGGGGGCUCAGUGCCAGCUGCUUAAAAAUGCCCCUGUGGCAGUGAGGGGCACCAGAGUCUGGGUCAAAUUAGUUGAGAAGCAGUGACACCCUCAACCACUCCCCACACAGGCUGGCUCCCAUCUCCAGGCCCCAAGGAGUCACACCUGGACCAGACCCCAGGAAAGGCAAGGGCACUAGCUGGUGAAAGCCACCCGUGCCACACUGAUGUUGGAGAAGCAAGAACUCAGGAGAAGCAGCCUCCUGGGACCAGAGGAGGGCCAGCGGCAGCCAGCUUGGAGACAGGACUCCUCUCCCAUGGCCAUUGCUGCUGCCUGGGACUUGGGCCCAGCCUAAGGCUCCAACCAGAGCCCAGAGCCCUGUCCUUGAGCAGAUCCACUUCAUCUCUCAGUCCUGCAGCUGGGCUGAGUGGGGAGUGGUCAGCUAAGAAGACACUGACCUGGAGAUGAGAUACAGGGGAUGCUUCUGUAGGAAGAAGGAGCUUGUGGACAGACAAUGCUGUGUUAAAGGCGGCAUCUCGCUGGAAAGCUGCUGUCAAAUAACUUAGCCUCUCCAAGUCAGUUUUCCCUUCUGCGAAAUGAGGAUACAUGAGCUGCCACCUCACAGAAUGACUCUCACCCACACCUCCCUAAGCCUCCUGACAGAAGACAGAGGUUCCCCCCAGACCAGCGACAUUUCCUGAAGACAUGGGGACCACAGAGGCAGAAACAGUCCAUCCACCCACAAGCUGCCAGCAGCCGGUACCCAGAGCCACCCAGUAAAACUGAGGCCACCUGGUUCAACAUCGCCUUUCACAGAAGGGGAAACAGAGCCACAGAGAGAAGGGCCUGGUGAGAAGUGGAGCCCAGGACUCCCAGGCGGUGCCUCUCAACCUUGGGAUCCGGAGUAGGAGGGAGCCUUUGGUGGGGUAAGUGGAAUGGAUAGGGGCGGCCAUAGACCCCUCUUCUCAGUGAGGCCCUCAUGUGUUGGAGGCAGGGGUUGGGACAAGUGCUAAGUAUGCAAGACUCAAGGGAAGAGCUCCUGGAGCCAGGAGAAGCACCUCCCUCCCAGCCCCUGUGCCCCUCCCCUCAGCCCAGUUGCACUGACUCCUCCUCCAGGAAGGCGUCUCAGCUUCCCUGGUGGAGGCGGAAAUGUUUUGUCCUCUAAGUGUGCUUGGCUGUCCUUUCUUGAGUGCCACCCCGUCUCUCCCCCAACCCCUUGGCUUGGGUCUGCCCCUAUUCACCUUGCCAGGAGCAUUUUCCUUCUACUCCAUCCGACUGAGGUCCUCCAGGUCAAGGAUGGUGUGACUCUCAGACACACUUCCCCUCGGGACAUAGAAGAGGCCCUGCGCUGAAUAGACAGGUGAAAUGAUUAGACUCUGCUCCCAAACCAAAGGUCUAGCAAACUGCUCAGGGCAUGAGCCAUCCAGCGUAGAGGUUAACGUGAGGGUCCUGGGUUAGGAACCCCAGAUCAGUUCCCAGCUCUGUACCCUUGGAAAAUUCCUUUCCCAUGGAGCCUUGGGGAUGCACAGGGACUUACACAAUGAAAAUAUUUAAUAUCCAGGACUAAGCAGUUCCACGAAUGACCAUGCUUAUUACAUUCAUUAUCAUUAUGAUUAUUCCAGACACAAAGGAACAGAAUGAGGCCCUGACAGCCAGGGGUGAGCAGAUUCAAGGGCCUCAGAGGAGAGGGAGGCAAACACCCUUUGCUGUUCAGAGGCUGCGCUUCAGCCCUCGUCCCUGCAUUAGUUUCUCUCACAGAGGCGUGGGGCUGCCUCCCAUCUAGUUCCUGUUUGUAAACCCAGGGGAGAUGCUAUCUUUGCUGCAGUAAUCUUAGCCCACAUCUUGGAAUGGAAAUGGCCUUGGUGGAAAUGGCCUUCAAUUCCCCUGGUCCAAGCUCAGGCCCUGUGACCUGGGAACAAUCCCCUUCCCUUCCUGGUCCUCCAUGUAGAAGCAAUAACAUUCCUUGCCAGGGGCACCAGCUGUUCUGAUGAUUAAAUGGGAUCAGACACUGUCCUAAAAUCAGUUAUUCAGAUGCCCUUAUUUUAUUUUUUUCCUGUCUGCAAACAAUUAUAAUAUUUAAAAAUGUAA